rnacentral:misc_RNA from 1 species
AAGAAGAAGAAGAAGAAGAAAGAGAGAAUGAGUCUUUGGUGACGGAGGAGGACACGAUCGGGUGCAAUGGGGAGCUGGGGAAGGAGGAGGGCGAGGAGCGAACGGAAGUGAUAGGAGAGAUUGAGAAUUGGAUCAAAGACAUCGUGCGAUAGAGAGAAUUAAUUUGAGAGAGAAAAUGGUGGUGGAGAUUUCAAGGAGUUGCAGAGAGGACAGGGAGGAAGAAGGAAAAAGAAAU